rnacentral:rRNA from 1 species
UGUACCCCCCAUUGUAACACGUGUGUAGCCCCGGACGCAAGGGCCGUGCUGAUUUGACGUCAUCCCCACCUUCCUCACAUCUUACGAUGGCAGUCUUGUCAGAGUCCUCAGCGGAACCUGUUAGUAACUGACAACAAGGGUUGCGCUCGUUAUGGCACUUAAGCCGACACCUCACGGCACGAGCUGACGACAACCAUGCAGCACCUUCACAAAGGUCCGAAGACUAAUCUGUUUCCAGAUUAUUCCUUUGCAAUUUAAGCCCGGGUAAGGUUCCUCGCGUAUCAUCGAAUUAAACCACAUGUUCCUCCG